UACGUAGGGGGCUAGCGUUGUCCGGAAUCAUUGGGCGUAAAGAGCGUGUAGGCGGUUCGGUAAGUCGGCUGUGAAAGUCCAGGGCUCAACCCUGGGAUGCCGGUCGAUACUGCCGGACUAGAGUCCGGAAGAGGAGAGUGGAAUUCCUGGUGUAGCGGUGAAAUGCGCAGAUAUCAGGAAGAACACCCGUGGCGAAGGCGGCUCUCUGGGACGGUACUGACGCUGAGACGCGAAAGCGUGGGGAGCGAACAGG
rnacentral:rRNA from 1 species